AGGGAAUCUUCCACAAUGGACGCAAGUCUGAUGGAGCAACGCCGCGUGAGUGAAGAAGGCUUUCGGGUCGUAAAACUCUGUUAUUGAAGAAGAACGUGUGUGACAGUAACUGGUCAUGCAGUGACGGUAUUCAAUCAGAAAGUCACGGCUAACUACGUGCCAGCAGCCGCGGUAAUACGUAGGUGGCAAGCGUUGUCCGGAUUUACUGGGCGUAAAGCGAGUGCAGGCGGUCUUUUAAGUNUGAUGUGAAAGCCUUCGGCUUAACCGAAGAAGGGCAUCGGAAACUGGGAGACUUGAGUGCA
rnacentral:rRNA from 1 species